CAGCCGCCGCGGGAAUACGAAGGGUGCAAGCGUUACUCGGAAUUACUGGGCGUAAAGCGUGCGUAGGUGGUGGUUUAAGUCCGUUGUGAAAGCCCUGGGCUCAACCUGGGAAUUGCAGUGGAUACUGGGUCACUAGAGUGUGGUAGAGGAUAGUGGAAUUUCCGGUGUAGCAGUGAAAUGCGCAGAGAUCGGAAGGAACAUCUGUGGCGAAGGCGACUAUCUGGGCCAACACUGACACUGAGGCACGAAAGCGUGGGGAGCAAACAGGAUUAGAUACCCCAGUAGUCCCUGUCUCUUAUAC
rnacentral:rRNA from 1 species